UUUGUCGAAAAUAGGUUAAGAAAGAAAAGAUAAAGGCUCAAGUUAGUUCAAAAAGAGGUGAUGGAAUGUAUUGAGGUUGAUAUGUGAAUGAAAAACCAAGUACUCAAGUUGAACCAACAAAAUAUAAGUGUGUUAACCCGGGACUAAUACGAACACUUAGGUAGGAUAAAUGUUGUAUGGAUGGAAAAAUGAAUAAAAUGGAACCUCGACCCGCUAUCAAAGAUGAUAGGAACCUCGGUAUAAUUUGAACGCCACACUUUGGGUACAAAGUGAUAAGUUCGGAAACAAAGACGGGUUGACGCCACAAGGGUUACUUGAUAAGUUAGACGAGUCUUUGGAGAAAAAUGAGAGUUGAAAACAAACUCACAAAGUAAUAAGAUAUCAUAUAAGAUUCAAAAGUAUAUUGUCUACCCCUAAAAUGAUUACAAAACAACUAUUUAUACUAAUAUUGAAUGUCAAGCCGAAUGGUCACAAAAGGUAGAUAAAUGGACAGCUUCUAGAUGGGAUUAACUCAGCUGGAAAGAUUCAUGGAACGUCUUCAAUGCUUGGCUGACCAUUGAGCUACACGAACAGCUUUGAAUGGUGUCUUUGAUGCGCACGAGGAGCCUUGAGCUGAAAAAGGCAUACCAGGUUCAGCCAAGGUCUUUUAUGAGCCUUGAAAGAGCUGCUUUGGUCAGCUAAUUAGUCUUGAAAUUUAAUGAUUAACUUGGACUCAUCAAUAGUCAUAGAAUGUGAACACAAAGAGCUGAUCGGCCAAAGGAGUGUGAACACACGAAUCUGAAAGGCCUUUGUUGGUGAAUGGAAUAUUUCAACAGUUGGGCUUUAAAAACGCAUUGGUGAGCUGAAUAAUUAGCUUGGAAAGGGUGCAACAGCAGCCACCUCUUAAAUGUCGUUCCUUGCAUGUAGAACAGCACCCUUAAUGCAUGUCUUUGUUGUACAUUAAAUUCGGCCACCAUGCAUCCUUUAUUGUUGCUGUUUUUUUCACGAAAAAACCCUGCAUAAAUUCUUGUCGUUCUUCUUUAAUUACUGUCCCACGUCCAUGAACCUGCACCCAUUAAAAUUCAGCCUUUAAUUCACAUUUUCAGACAAAUUAAAAAUGGUCAAUAGACAUAUUAAAUUUGGCAUCAUCCACUUCCUUUAAUGCCAUCCAAGCCAUUAAACCUGCAGACAAAUAAUUAAAUUCGGUCAUCAGCAUCUUAAGACAAAUUAAAUUGGCAGCAACUUGAUCAAUAACUAUGCUCAUAAAUUUGGCUGACUUUAGGCUUUUUAAAUGGACAAAUUUGGCUGGACAAGUCAAAAAAUUCGGCAGCCAGAAGACCCAUUAAAGUGGCUCUUUAAUUUCGGCUGAAAAAAACACCAUUUAAGAUAUCAUUAAAUUCGGUUGUAGCAAGACAAAUUAAAUAAUGUAAUGACAAUUAAAUUCAGCUGGACACCUUAAAAACAUACAUUAAUCUCAUGCUUGAACCAAGACAAAUUAAUUAGCCAUAUUAAUUCAGCUGGACAUGAACAAAUUAAAUGCAUGCCUUAACCUAGGACAAAUUAAUGUGUACUAAUUGAAGACAUAAUUAAAUCAUUAAAUAAAGCAAAUUUAAUAUAAAAAAAUUAUUAGACCCAAAUUAAAUCAUGUGCAUGAUGAAACUAACAAAUUAACUAAUGAACUUAAUUUAUUCCAGCAACUAUGUAAAAGCAUAAAUUAAAAUAAAUUGAAGUUCAAGCUUAAUGAGCCGAAUUGAGCUCGAAUGUGCUGACUUGAGCUCGGAUGAGCUAACUUGAGCUCGAAUGAACUAACUUGAGCUCGAAUGAACAAAAAAAUGAGCUUCAUCUUGCACUUGGGCCUCUCGCGUUUAGGCCAAACUCGACGGCGUUGGGUUGUGACAUUACAUGAUGCGAUCAGGAUCACAUCAUACCCUCCCUCUUGAAGACGAUUUGUCCUCAAAUCGGGCCACUUGCUCGAAUUUUUUUUUCAAAAUCUCGAACCCUUUUAUUCAUGACCCGAAUAGAAUCAUUUCCAAAACUUUGAAAAUCACAAAUGGUUCGAAAAGAAAUUGACUUAUUUCCACGCCCUCCCUCUUUUGGAGGGAACCAUUUCAAAGUGUCACCUACACAAGAAAGACAUAGGUUAGUGACACUAGAAAUUAUAAACUCAAAAGAAUUUUUGAAGAUCUUAUUCAACAAGUGAACAUAUGAGUCAAUGCCGGGAUCAAAAAUAGAAGUUGGUCUCACCUUAUCAUAAUGAAUUAAAAAAUGCAUUGAUUGCAACAAACCUGAGUCACAAGGCACUCGAUAGCUAUAAUUUUGGAAGCCAACUUCCCACGGUUCGAAUCCCUUUGACAACAAUUCAAAAUGAUAUGCACCGGGGUCAAAAACAAAGUUUCCUCUUGCCAUUCCAAUUUGAUAUGACAAUUUCAAAAUCGGUAUCAUAAAAAGGAAAUGAUGUAAUUUUAAGUAAUGAUUAUGCAAGACAUAUUCGAACCUUUUAAACCAAAGUAUGGAGCAAUUACCAGAAUCAUAAAUCAAAUUUUGGCUUUGCAAGCUAACAAUAUUCACAUGCUUUGUUCUAGAACAGCCAGAUAUAUCAAAUUUCACUUGAUCUAACUUACACAAACAUGUAGAAUUUACAAAACAAAGCAGUAACGUCUCACCACCAUCACAAGCAAAUGAACUAGGUAUUUUACUCAUCAACGUUUUAUCACACAAACGAAUCAGCAAAUUCAAAUUGUCAUCACAUACAAGAAGAUUUGACGUGUGAUAUACCAACCUUUUAUCACAAAAAAGACAAAUUUUGUUCGGGCUCACCUGGACUUACUUCUUGAUCAAUCUUGACAAUGUUAGGCUCAUGAGCAGAAAGAUAUUUCGCAUUACUAUGUAAAAUACAUUCAUCAACAAUAAAAUUAUGAUUUCCAAUAAAAUCAAGAUGAAAAAUUCUCUCACAAACUAAGUCUUUGGUAAUCUUGUCAUCAAGAAUCAAGUAAGAUUGAGAAGACUCAAAUACAGUAGAACCCUUACAUGGCUUACCUUUAAGCACUUGUGGACUAGGGUCAUCUACGAUCUUACCUUUCUCGACUAAUCGAAAUCGUCUCUCCUCAGAAAAGUAUUGAAGUUGAAAUUGAUCAAUGGGAUUUUGAGAAACCUGAAAAGUAGAAACAAUACAAGGAAAACUCAUAGGAUGGUUAGUAAAAACACUCCUUGCUUGUUCACUUUCAUCCUUUUCGCUUAUUUCUUUUUCCAACUCAUUUUCAAAUCCUCUUUAUUUUACCAUAUCACUCAUUUCUUUUGCACUCUCGUUUCUUUCUUCAAUCUCACUCUCUUUUUCAGUUUUCUUUUCUUUUUCACACUCGUUUUUAUUCUCAAUCUCAUUUUCAAUUUUCUUUUCUAUCUUACACUCAUCUUCUUUUUCUUUUUCAUUUUCUCACUCGCACUCUUUUUCUUUUUCUUUUUCACAUGCUAUUUUGAUUUCUUUACAAAGGUAGAAAUCAUCAAAAUAAGAAGUCUUUUGUUGAGAAUAAGAAAACGGUUCUUCAUACAAAUGACAAUCAUCUCUUUGUGAUAGAUCUCCCGUAGCUGAGUACUUUGACACUCUUGAAACACGUUCACCUCUUCGUAAGCCAACCUUCACAGAUGAAUAAAUUGAUGUACUUGUAGAGACAUGUCUACCUUUUUGUUUAUCAUCUCAGAAGGACUCAAAUUUAGAGUUUGCUUCUCUUGGUCUCGAACGCUUUGUUGAAUAGGAGUCUUGAUAAGAGUCUCUUGUCAAGUAGUGUCGUCGUGAUGAUCUUAACUCCGUUUCUCGACCUGGUGAAUUUGACUUCCAUCGCGCUCUUUCCUCCACUCGAUCCAAUCGAUCAUGCAAUUUAUCGAAUUUUGAUUUCACCAUUCUACGCAUCUCUUGCAUCAAAUAUUGGAAUUCUGAUUCAGAAAAUUCUUCUUGAGACAUUUUUUUUUGCUAAAAAGAAAAAAAGUGUUUAAAAUAGAAAGUAAAUACCUCACCACAAAACCUCGCAAGUCACUCGAAAAGAAAAUUUUCACUCCACUUGUGUUUACGCUCGCUUUUGGCUUUUCUUCUCUCGAAUUAACUCACACUCUCUUGCCUUUUACCACUCGAUUUUCGUCUCUCGAAGUUCUCCGCAAACUAGAUCGACGAAUCAACACCGUUUGGCGUCGGCUUACAAAAUAGAUUUGGCUUGGUGGGUAAUGAUGUCGGAAAUGGUAUGCUAUCAAACAAAAUAAAAUGGUUAAGUGUGGCUAUAUAGAUAUUGUCCUUCGGGCAGCAAACAAAGCUUUUACAAUCCAACUAUAAACUUCUCUUUUUUUUUUAAUUCUGAUUUUUUUUUUCAAUACUAAAUACAAAAAGUAAAAAUAAAUUUAAUACAAACUCUUUUUUUUGAAUUUUUUUUUCAAAUUUUUUUUCAAUUUUUUUUCAAUUUUUUUAAAAUAGCGUAAUGCUGAUAACGUCGAUUCUUACUCCGAUUCAGCUAGCUCUAAUACCAAAAUGAUACGCCCCGGGCUUGUUGAUGAAUCCGAGUCGUUGAUGUGCCCGAUCGUGAAUUGGAGUAAUAUUAAGGUUUGUCGAAAAUAGGUUAAGAAAGAAAAGAUAAAGGCUCAAGUUAGUUCAAAAAGAGGUGAUGGAAUGUAUUGAGGUUGAUAUGUGAAUGAAAAACUAAGUACUCAAGUUGAACCAACACAAUAUAAGUGUGUUAACCCGAGACUAAUACGAACACUUAGGUAGGAUAAAUGUUGUAUGGAUGGAAAAAUGAAUAAAAUGGAACCUCGACCCGCUAUCAAAGAUGAUAAGAACCUCGGUAUAAUUUGAACGCCACACUUUGGGUACAAAGUGAUAAGUUCAGAAAGAAAGACGGGUUGACGCCACAAGGGUUACUUGAUAAGUUAGAUGAGUCUUUGGAGAACAAUGAGAGUUGAAAACAAACUCACAAAGUAAUCAGAUAUCAUAUAAGAUUCAAAAGUAUAUUGUCUACCCCAAAAUGAUUACAAAACAACUAUUUAUACUAAUAUUAAAUGUCAAGCCAAAUGGUCACAAAAGGUAGAUAAAUGGACAGCUUCUAGAUGGGAUUAACUCAGCUGGAAAGAUUCAUGGAACGUCUUCAAUGCUUGGCUAACCAUUGAGCUACACGAACAGCUUUGAAUGGUAUCUUUGAUGCGCACGAGGAGCCUUGAGCUGAAAAAGGCAUACCAGGUUCGGCCAAGGUCUUUUAUGAGCCUUGAAAGAGCUGCUUUGGUCAGCUAAUUAGUCUUGAAAUUUAAUGAUUAACUUGGACUCAUCAAUAGUCAUAGAAUGUGAACACAAAGAGCUGAUCGGCCAAAGGAGUGUGAACACAGGAAUCUGAAAGGCCUUUGUUGGUGAAUGGAAUAUUUCAAUAGUUGGGCUUUAAAAAUGCAUUGGUGAGCUGAAUAAUUAGCUUGGAAAGGGUGCAACAGCAGCCACCUCUUAAAUGUCGUCCCUUGCAUGUAGAACAGCACCCUUAAUGCAUGUCUUUGUUGUACAUUAAAUUCGGCCACCAUGCAUCCUUUAUUGCUGCUGUUUUUUUCACGAAAAAACCCUGCAUAAAUUCUUGUCGUUCUUCUUUAAUUGCUGUCCCACGUCCAUGAACCUGCACCCAUUAAAAUUCAGCCUAUAAUUCACAUUUUCAAACAAAUUAAAAAUGGUCAAUAGACAUAUUAAAUUCGGCAUCAUCCACUUCCUUUAAUGCCGUUCAAGCCAUUAAACCUGCAGACAAAUAAUUAAAUUCGGUCAUCAGCAU
rnacentral:lncRNA from 1 species